CCGCGCGUGCCGCCGCCGUACGCCGGCCCGCGCACCGGCGCCCCCGUCCGCCGUGUCAGCGCGCCAUUGGCGGCUCGCCGGCCAGGAAAGGCCCGGUUGCAGCGGGAGCGCGGUGGUGCGGUGUGCGUUCACCACACCAGUAUACAAGUCGAGGAUAUAGGUCACUCACUCUCUCUGAAUAUAAGAGGCCAGCAAUGGAAAGCCUGGCCCGCUUCUUUUCGGGAGGGUGACCCACCUGUUAGGCCUGCGGCCUGCGUCGCUUUCGUUUCACCCCUAGUUUACGCAUCCCAUCGACCUCCGCCUUUUCCUGGGAGGAAGAAGAAGAAGACGUCUGUGUGUGGAAAGGAGCUGCACCGAGGAAGAGGAAGGAGAGGGACGAUGGAACCCGUGGGAAAGUUAGGUUAUAAUGGGGUCGGUCAGAGCACCGGUGAGCGUGGUGCACGCG
rnacentral:lncRNA from 1 species